UGGAUUAGCGGCGAACGGGUGAGGAACACGUGAAGAAUCUGCCCUCCACUUUGGGAUAACACAGGGAAACCUGUGCUAAUACCGAAUAUUGAAACAUAAGUGGCAUCACUGAGUUUUGAAAGAAUUUCGGUGGAGGAUGACUUCGCGGCCUAUCAGCUAGUUGGUGAGGUAAUGGCUCACCAAGGCAACGACGGGUAGCCGGCCUGAGAGGGCGACCGGCCACACUGGGACUGAGACACGGCCCAGACUCCUACGGGAGGCAGCAGUGGGGAAUAUUGGGCAAUGGAGGAAACUCUGACCCAGCGACGCCGCGUGCGGGAUGAAGGCCUUCGGGUUGUAAACCGCUUUCAGUAGGGAAGAAGCGAAAGUGACGGUACCUACAAAAGAAGCACCGGCUAACUAUGUGCCAGCAGCCGCGGUAAUACAUAGGGUGCAAGCGUUGUCCGGAAUUAUUGGGCGUAAAGAGCUCGUAGGUUGUUUGUUACGUCGGAUGU
rnacentral:rRNA from 1 species